rnacentral:rRNA from 1 species
UACGGAGGGUGCUAGCGUUGUUCGGAUUUACUGGGCGUAAAGGGCGCGUAGGCGGUCACCGCAAGUCGACUGUGAAAUCUCCGGGCUUAACCCGGAAAGGUCAGCCGAUACUGCGGGGCUAGAGUGCAGAAGGGGCAACUGGAAUUCUCGGUGUAGCGGUGAAAUGCGUAGAUAUCGAGAGGAACACCUGCGGCGAAGGCGGGUUGCUGGGCUGACACUGACGCUGAGGCGCGAAAACUAGGGGAGCGAACGGG